rnacentral:piRNA from 1 species
UUCGAAGAAACGGUGGACCGAGGCUCUC